AGCAGCCGCGGUAAUUCCAGCUCCAAUAGCGUAUAUUAAAGUUGUUGCAGUUAAAAAGCUCGUAGUUGAAUUUCGGGGUUCAUACGUUGGUCGGGCUAUUUGGUCUGUACUUAUGUAAUGGAUUCCUACCUUCUGAAUAACCGGCAUGCCAUUAAUUUGGUGCGCCGGGGAAGCAGGACUGUUACCUUGAAAAAAUUAGAGUGCUUAAAGCAGGCUAUCGCCUGAAUACAUUAGCAUGGAAUAAUGAAAUAGGACGGCAUGGUUCUAUUUUGUUGGUUUCUAGGAUCACCGUAAUGAUUAAUAGGGAUAGUUGGGGGCAUUAGUAUUCAAUUGUCAGAGGUGAAAUUCUUGGAUUUAUUGAAGUACUAACUUCUGCGAAAGCAUUUGCCAAGGAUGUUUUCAUUAAUCAAGAACGAAAGUUAGGGGAUCGAAGACGAUCAGAUACCGUCGUAGUCUUAACCAUAACUAUAGCGACUAGGGAUCGGACGUAUGUUAAUUUUUAUAGUACUGUUCGGCGCCG
rnacentral:rRNA from 1 species